GCCUUUGUAGCUAAUGUAAGUGUACGACUCUUAAUCGUUUGAUGUAAUUUAUUUACCUGAGGCU
rnacentral:tRNA from 1 species